rnacentral:rRNA from 1 species
UACGUAGGGUGCGAGCGUUGUCCGGAAUUAUUGGGCGUAAAGAGCGCGUAGGCGGUCCGGUAAGUCCGCUCUGAAAGUCCGGGGCUCAACCCCGGGAGGCGGGCGGAUACUGUCGGGCUAGAGUCCGGAAGAGGCGAGUGGAAUUCCUGGUGUAGCGGUGAAAUGCGCAGAUAUCAGGAGGAACACCAAUGGCGAAGGCAGCUCGCUGGGACGGUACUGACGCUGAGGCGCGAAAGCAUGGGGAGCGAACAGG